GACGAACGCUGGCGGCGUGCUUAACACAUGCAAGUCGAACGGAAAGGCCCUGCUUUUGUGGGGUGCUCGAGUGGCGAACGGGUGAGUAACACGUGAGUAACCUGCCCUUGACUUUGGGAUAACUUCAGGAAACUGGGGCUAAUACCGGAUAGGAGCUCCUGCUGCAUGGUGGGGGUUGGAAAGUUUCGGCGGUUGGGGAUGGUCUCGCGGCUUAUCAGCUUGUUGGUGGGGUAGUGGCUUACCACGGCUUUGACGGGUAGCCGGCCUGGGAGGGUGACCGGCCACCUUGGGACUGCGAUACGGCCCAGUAUCCUACGGGAGGCAGCAGUGGGGAAUAUUGCACAAUGGGCGGAAGCCUGAUGCAACAACGCCGCGUGCGGGAUGACGGCCUUCGGGUUGUAAACCGCUUUCGCCUGUGACGAAGCGUGAGUGACGGUAAUGGGUAAAGAAGCACCGGCUAACUACGUG
rnacentral:rRNA from 1 species